rnacentral:rRNA from 1 species
AGAGUUUGAUCCUGGCUCAGGAUGAACGCUAGCUACAGGCUUAACACAUGCAAGUCGAGGGGAAACGGCAUUGAGUGCUUGCACUGAAUGGACGUCGACCGGCGCACGGGUGAGUAACGCGUAUCCAACCUUCCCAUUACUGUGGGAUAACCUGCCGAAAGGCAGACUAAUACCGCAUAGUCUUCGAUGACGGCAUCAGAUUUGAAGUAAAGAUUUAUCGGUAAUGGAUGGGGAUGCGUCUGAUUAGCUUGUUGGCGGGGUAACGGCCCACCAAGGCAACGAUCAGUAGGGGUUCUGAGAGGAAGGUCCCCCACAUUGGAACUGAGACACGGUCCAAACUCCUACGGGAGGCAGCAGUGAGGAAUAUUGGUCAAUGGGCGAGAGCCUGAACCAGCCAAGUAGCGUGCAGGAUGACGGCCCUAUGGGUUGUAAACUGCUUUUGUAUGGGGAUAAAGUCAAUCACGUGUGAUUGUUUGCAGGUACCAUACGAAUAAGGACCGGCUAAUUCCGUGCCAGCAGCCGCGGUAAUACGGAAGGUCCAGGCGUUAUCCGGAUUUAUUGGGUUUAAAGGGAGCGUAGGCCGGAGAUUAAGUGUGUUGUGAAAUGUAGACGCUCAACGUCUGACUUGCAGCGCAUACUGGUUUCCUUGAGUACGCACAACGUUGGCGGAAUUCGUCGUGUAGCGGUGAAAUGCUUAGAUAUGACGAAGAACUCCGAUUGCGAAGGCAGCUUACGGGAGCACAACUGACGCUGAAGCUCGAAGGUGCGGGUAUCAAACAGGAUUAGAUACCCUGGUAGUCCGCACAGUAAACGAUGGAUGCCCGCUGUUGGUACCUGGUAUCAGCGGCUAAGCGAAAGCAUUAAGCAUCCCACCUGGGGAGUACGCCGGCAACGGUGAAACUCAAAGGAAUUGACGGGGGCCCG